UCGCCUCUUGCCAUUACAAGUAUAAGAGGUCCAGCCUGCCCUGUGAUCUAUUUUAACGGCCGCGGUAUCUUGACCGUGCGAAGGUAGCGUAAUCACUUGUCUUUUAAUUAAAGACCCGUAUGAAAGGCACCACGAGAGCUUACCUGUCUUUAUUUUCCAAUCAAUGAAAUUAGCCUUCUCGUGCAGAGACGAGAAUAAUAACAUAAGACGAGAAGACCCUAUGGAGCUUAAAACACCUAAGUUAAUUAUUCUAAAACCUAAACAUCCAAGGAUAUAAACAUAAUAUUAAUAAACCUAACUUAACUUGUUUUUGGUUGGGGCGACCAAGGGGGAUAAAAGAACCCCCUCAUCGAUCGAGUACUCACGUACUUAAAGAUUAGAAUCACAAUUCUAACCAUUAGAACAUCUAACGAACCAUGACCCAGGACCCGUAAUCCUGAUCAAUGAACCAAGUUACCCUAGGGAUAACAGCGCAAUCCUUUCUUAGAGUCCCAAUCGCCGAAAGGGUUUACGACCUCGAUGUUGGAUCAGGACAUCCUAAUGGUGCAACCGCUAU
rnacentral:rRNA from 1 species